CCUACGGGGGGCAGCAGUGGGGGAUAUUGCACAAUGGGGGAAACCCUGAUGCAGCGACGCCGCGUGAGGGAAGACGGUCCUAUGGAUUGUAAACCACUGUCGCCAGGGACGAAGAUGACGGUACCGGGGGAGGAAGCUCCGGCAAACUACGUGCCAGAAGCCGCGGUAAUAGGUAGGGAGCGCGCGUAUCCCGGAAUUACUGGGUGUAAAGGGAGCGUAGGCGGUGAGAGAGGUUGAGGGGAAAACCCACCGGCCAACCUGGGAGUCGCACUCAAAACUGCAGCUCUUGAGUGAAGUAGAGGCAGGCGGAAUUCCUGGUGUAGCGGUGAAAUGCGUAGAUAUUAGGAGGAACACCAGUGGCGAAGGCGGCCUGCUGGGCUUUUACUGACGCUGAGGCUCGAAAGUGUGGGGAGCAAACAGGAUUAGAUACCCUAGUAGUC
rnacentral:rRNA from 1 species